AGUCGACGGCAGCGCGGGGUAACCUGGCGGCGAGUGGCGAACGGGUGAGUAAUACAUCGGAACGUGCCCUGUGAUGGGGGAUAACUACGCGAAAGCGUAGCUAAUACCGCAUACGACCUACGGGUGAAAGUGGGGGAUCGCAAGACCUCACGUCAUAGGAGCGGCCGAUGGCGGAUUAGCUAGUUGGUGAGGUAAAGGCUUACCAAGGCAACGAUCCGUAGCUGGUCUGAGAGGACGACCAGCCACACUGGGACUGAGACACGGCCCAGACUCCUACGGGAGGCAGCAGUGGGGAAUCUUGGACAAUGGGGGCAACCCUGAUCCAGCAAUGCCGCGUGUGGGAUGAGGGCCUUCGGGUUGUAAACCACUUUUGGCGGGGGCGAAAUAUCGAGUGCUAAUACCAUUCGGUGAUGACGGUACCCGCAGAAUAAGUACCGGCUAACUACGUGCCAGCAGCCGCGGUAAUACGUAGGGUGCAAGCGUUAAUCGGAAUUACUGGGCGUAAAGCGUGCGCAGGCGGUUAGGUAAGACAGAUGUGAAAUUCCCGGGCUCAACCUGGGAACUGCAUUUGUGACUGCCUGACUAGAGUGCGGCAGAGGGGAGUGGAAUUCCGCGUGUAGCAGUGAAAUGCGUAGAUAUGCGGAGGAAUACCGAUGGCGAAGGCAACUCUCUGGGUCUGCACUGACGCUCAUGCACGAAGCGUGGGGAGCAAACAGAUUAGAUACUCUGGUAGUCCACGCUCUAAACGAUGUCGACUAGUUGUUGGACGGGUUACUGUUCAGUAACGAAGCUUACGCGUGAAGUCGACCGCCUGGGG
rnacentral:rRNA from 1 species